UUUUUUAUGUUUACAUAUAGUUUUUGCUGAUGAUAAAAUUUUGUGAGCCUAGCUUUGUUAUUGAGUCUCCAAGGUAGCUUUCGUUAUUGAGUCUCCAAUGUGACUUUGUGAUUUCCAGAUUACAUUGAUUUGGAGACCCAACGAAAAGGGAAGGCUCAAGUACCGGUGUAAUUGCUUGAUUAAUUAAGGCAAGUGAAUUUCUAAACCUCAGUUUAAGCUUAUAGAUGCUUGUAUUUCCGUGUCAUAUAUACUAGGAAGUAAUGAGAAUUGGACUGGAUUAUUGACUGUAUGAUUGACCUUAAAAAAUGGAGAUGAGGGGUAUAAAAUGGUGAUCUAAUGACAUGUAUUGGUGGAAUUGAUAUGUUGUGAUUUUGGGCAUGUGAAAUGACUAUGUUGAUGUGAGAUAGGAAAAAUUAUUGUUGUUGUCAUGUUAUUAUCGUGAAUUAUAUAAACAUGAAUUGAUUGCAUUGGUUCUGACAUAUUGUGUUGAGACUGAAAAUGAUAUGAAACAAAAGGGGUCGGGCCACACGCUCCGUGGCAGGUAUAUGAAACAAAGGGGUCGGGCCACACGCUCCGUGGCAAGUAUUAUGAAAUAAAGGGGUCGGGCCACACGCUCCGUGGCAAGAUAUAUAUGUUGAGGGGACGGGCCACACGUUCCGUGGCAGGUUACAUGGACAGAAAUGUCCCCCAUGGGUUCCGGACUGUGAUUCAGCGGAUGUGUACCGAUAGGACAGACAUGCAUCAUUUCAUUGCAUUGCAUUGCACCUUUCUGACAUUUGUGAAUUUGUGUUUACCCCUAUAUUGCUCUGUGUAUGUUGAACUUGACUUGGUAUGAUUCAUUGAUGAGAAUUUGUGGACUGUAUUACUGUUGUUAUCGCACAAGUGUAGAGUUAGGCUGAUUUUAUGCAGGUUGUAGUUAAGGAGGUUCGGUUGGGAGGACAGGAGUACUUGUAUCUAUUAAGCUUUGCUUAGUUUUAGUUAUCCACUUGCUGAGUACCGUGUUGUUUGGUACUCACCCCUUGCUUCCACACUUGUGUAGGUUGUGAGGCCGGACUUGUUUGAUCUCCUAGUGUUUCCACCACAUCUGAGGCUAUCAUUUCGAGUGUUGAGGUAGCUGUUGCAUCCAUCUAGCGGACACCUCUUACUCUUUUAUUAUGUUUUAGUCCUACUCUAGUGACAAAGACAUUGUGACUGUAUUUUCUUUCGUACUUCGGUAAUUUAUUAGUGGCUUGUAUACGUGACAACCAGUCUUGGGGGAUUUUGGAGAUUAUUUAUUUGUUUUUGACUAAUUUAAACCUUAUUUUAUCUCAAUUACUUCCGCAUUUACUUUUCGUUGAGUUUUAGGCUGAC